rnacentral:rRNA from 1 species
AAGACCUUGCACUUUUGGAGCGGCCGAUGUCUGAUUAGCUAGUUGGCGGGGUAAUGGCCUACCAAAGCUUCGAUCAGUAGCUGGUCUGAGAGGACGGCCAGCCACACUGGGACUGAGACACGGCCCAGACUCCUACGGGAGGCAGCAGUGGGGAAUUUUGGACAAUGGGCGCAAGCCUGAUCCAGCCAUGCCGCGUGAGUGAAGAAGGCCUUCGGGUUGUAAAGCUCUUUCAGCCGGGAAGAAAAGGUUGCGACUAAUAAUCGCAAUCCAUGACGGUACCGAAAGAAGAAGCACCGGCUAACUACGUGCCAGCAGCCGCGGUAAUACGUAGGGUGCGAGCGUUAAUCGGAAUUACUGGGCGUAAAGCGUGCGCAGGUGGUUUUGUAAGUCAGAUGUGAAAGCCCCGGGCUCAACCUGGGAACU